AGCAGUAGCCGCGGGAACACGGAGGGAGCUAGCGUUGUUCGGAAUUACUGGGCGUAAAGCGCACGUAGGCGGUUAUUCAAGUCAGAGGUGAAAGCCCGGGGCUCAACCCCGGAACUGCCUUUGAAACUAGAUGACUGGAAUCUUGGAGAGGUCAGUGGAAUUCCGAGUGUAGAGGUGAAAUUCGUAGAUAUUCGGAAGAACACCAGUGGCGAAGGCGACUGACUGGACAAGUAUUGACGCUGAGGUGCGAAAGCGUGGGGAGCAAACAGGAUUAGAUACCCCAGUAGUCCCUGUCUCUUAUAA
rnacentral:rRNA from 1 species